AAAUAAAAGGCUAUUAAAUUAAAAAAAAAAAAAAAAAAAAAAAAACAAAUGCUGCAAAAAAAAAAAAAAAAUGUAAAUUUCCACUCACCAUGAGGAGCAGACACCCAGAAUCCUCUCUUCUCCUGGAGUUGGAGUAUGGAAGGGUUUCCAUCCUUCUCCCAUAUUACCACUGAAAAGCUACAUAGACGCUUUUGGAAAUAACGUAGGAGUAGGAAUUCAUUACCCUUAAGAUCAUUAAGUUUAAGAAGCGGGGUAACUCUUUAUCAUGGAGAAGGGUUUUGAAAAUGUUGAUGCUCAUGAUUGAGAAUUCCAGAAAUGUGGUUUGGAGAAGAUACUGUUGCCCUUGUUGGUUUAAACGGUAAUGGCUAACCCUUUCACAGCCUUUAAGGGUUCCAUUCUUACUUGUUCCUUACAACGCCGCGAUGAUGGAGGUAGGAAAAACUGGCCCCAUCAGAGACUGGCGCAAUGCUAUCGCUUCAGGCUAAGAUCACGUGUCCCCAAUCUCAUCAACGCAUGCGCAAAUGACUCCUCAACGUUGACUGACUAGGCCCAAAUCCUUGGCUAAAAAAACCUCCCCUUUAACUGGAAGACCCUGUGAGGCGGCUGUCCUCACACAGUACUGUAGAUGACUCAGCAAAACUGAUGACAUAUAAGAAACCCACGUCACUGGGUACCAAAACCUCAUCCCGGUCAUUGCUGCUUCAGUUGAAAAAGCCACGUGUCCUCAGUGAUGCCCGCGGCGCCUGCGCAGAUGACCCCCAGCCAGUCGUGCCCUACCACGCUCUUGAAGGCACACCCUUGGACAAGAGAAUGACCUUAUUCCUCUCCUGUGCCCAACAAAAGACUAUGACGUGGGCCAGGACCGCCUUGCUUCCACCUAAUAUCAAACCUAAACUACCAGGGGAUUAUCAUGAAUCCAGUCCAGUGAAGAGCACCUUGUUAUAAAAGAAAAGGAGCAUUUAUAGG
ensembl:lncRNA